GAAUAUUAUUAGAGAAGAAAUGCGAACUUU
rnacentral:piRNA from 1 species